AGGAAAAGCAAAUUUUGUGAUGGAUAUGAAGGAAAUAGUGAAAAAAGUGUCAUUCCGAUCCGAUGUCAAAAGUCAAAUAAGAAAAAUAGGUGCAAUAACCGUUCACCUGAAACCUGUGGAUUUGUCUGUUACGCAGUGCCGCGCAUUCCUCCACACUCAAUAAACUUAGCUGAAUCAAUAUGUCAAAGAGCAGACAGAUAACGCUAAGCUCAGGCAUAAAUCCUAACCAUCUCUAAAAUCUUUUCAUGUGGAAUUACUCACAGGCCAUAUUCUCUUAAGUACAGUAAACAUUGUGACAGGUACUUUGAGCUGCUGGUUCAAGAGGACACAGGAAAGUGGAUUGUUCUUUAAGCCCACAGGGGCCCGAAGAAAAGGAAAAGUCUCGAGUGAAAACGUUACCAGAAAGGAUAAAGGUGUGGUUUGGUGAAAUCAGCCAGAAAAAAAAAAGCUGGAACUUCUGCUGAUAGAAAUUCACGCUUAAGGCGAUAUUGUGAAUGUUAGGCGUCGAGUCUUCGCUCCCUCUCAGCUCCGAGAGGUGAUUUUUAUCAGAGGGAGUAACCGCACCAAAAUGCACUGCCGUCUCCCAUCCCAUCACCUCAGCCAGCAGUUGUCAGGAAGAAUGGCAGCUUGUCCAGAGCCGCUGGAGCAAAGGCUGCUGGGAGGCCGUGAAUGCCAGACUCUCCUGUUUGAAGUGGUAGAUGAUUAAACGGGUCAUGACAGGUGUAAAAGCAACCUUUGUCAUUUUGGACAUGUACCGUCCUUGCUUCCUUGGCUCGCCCACAACGGAACGCCCUGCUCACCUGCCCGAGUGUGUGUGCACUAAUGUGUGUGUGCACGCUUGGGUGUGUUUGUGUGGAGUGGAUUUUCUGGAGGGGAUUGAUGGCUGUUAACAAUCCUGCACCAUCACGCUCCCUGCCUGUCAUGUGAUGAAUGAGUGACGGAUACGCCCCUGAUGGAUGAGACGUGAGCCUGUUGUCUGCAUAUUUAUGGUCUUGGCUCUGUGCCGCUCGGUGUUAAAAAAGAAAAGAAAAACAAGCAUAAAAUUGCUCCAGUGGAAAUGAGUGAACUGUCUGUGAUUUGAGAAGGAUUGAGGUUAUAUUUAUCUCUUAUUAUUUGCGUCUCCAAGAAUUUCUAUUUAUCAAAUCAGCGUGGUGAUGUCAUAUCAGCCUGACAUAUGCUUCAGGGUUCGUUUGACCUAUUCUCCUAACUUUGGCUCCAAUCGUGUAUCGACUGUAUCGUGUUAUUAUAUUACAAGCUGUUUUUUAUCACUUGUACUUCUCUUAUCUAUUUUCCUCCCCGAGCCAUCAUGAUGCAUAUACAGCAGUGAAAUGAAGAUAAAGGGUUUGGUCUGGUAUCGUAAUACCACAGCUGAAAUUCAAAUGGGGUUUUGACAUA